rnacentral:rRNA from 1 species
UAGGGAAUCUUCCGCAAUGGACGCAAGUCUGACGGAGCAACGCCGCGUGAGUGAAGAAGGAUUUCGGUUCGUAAAACUCUGUUGUUAGAGAAGAACAGCGCAUAGAGUAACUGUUAUGCGUGUGACGGUAUCUAACCAGAAAGCCACGGCUAUCUACGUGCCAGCAGCCGCGGUACUACGUAGGUCCCGAGCGUUGUCCGGAUUUAUUGGGCGUAAAGCGAGCGCAGGCGGUUUGAUAAGUCUGAAGUUAAAGGCAGUGGCUCAACCCUUGUAGGCUUUGGAAAAUGUGUAACGUGAGUGCAGAAGGGGAGAGUGGAUUUCCAUGUGGAGCGGUGAAGUGCGUAGAUAUAUGGAGGAACACCGGUGGCGAAAGCGGCUAUCUGGUCUGUAACUGACGCUGAGGCUCGAAAGCGUGGGGAGCGAACAGG